rnacentral:lncRNA from 1 species
GCCACAUCCAGCGGCAGUGGCAAAAUAAUGUACGGUGAACGAGACAGAAAUAGAGUAAUUUGACGCAGCGGCAAUCGUUUGUGGACUUCCAGAGACACAAGCAAUGAGAAGCCGAUGCCGCUGAUAUUUUCUGCGUCUGUUUUAUCCUUCGUUUGUUGCCGCACGACUGCAAAAUCAGUCAGCCCUGGUUCAUCUGUGCUCCGUGUUGUUAUCGUUAAAGCUUUAAUUUUUUGACGCUACCGCUGCGUUCCGCGGCGAUGAAACGAACAGAGCUU